GGCCAGGGCAGACAAGAGGACAGACAAGAGGACAGAUAUCUGCAGCCUGUGGCCACCCGUCACCCUCCCACCCACCAUGGACAUGCCCUGGCCCCUCGGGUGGAUUCUGCUUCUGUUGGGAAGCCCCCUCACCCACGCUGAGCCUCUGUACAUCCUGGUGACCCCCCGAGUCCUGAGGGUUGGCAGUCCGGAGAGCAUUCACAUUCAGGCCCACUCGGACUCCAGACAGCCCCUCACAAGGACCCUCGAGGUGAACUUCACGGUAUGGGACUUCCCCAUGAGGAAGACAGUGUUGGCAAGGAGCCAGCUCAUUCUCUCGCCAGGAAACAACUUUAUGGACCAGGCACCUGUGACGGUUCCCGAGAGCCUGGUGUACCCCCCAAAACCAGGGCAGCAAUAUGCCAUCAUCCGGGCAACUUGGGCACCCUCCUCGGACUCCUCAUUCAUGGAGAAGAUAGUGCUGGUGGCUCCUCAUGCUGGCUACAUCUUUAUCCAGACAGACAAGACCAUCUACACCCCUGAGCACUUGGGUACAGCCCCGAGGCACUUGGCUUGGAGCAAUCACUGGCUCUCAUUCCCAGUCUUUCCCAAUGUCUGAGAUACUCCCAUCCCCUAAAAUCUUCUCCACCUCCCAAGAUCUCUCUCUCUGCAUAAGUGGCCCCCACCACUGCCCAAGAUCCAAACUCUCUCUCUCUCUGUCUUUCCCUUCCUCUACUCAAUACUCAGAGUUCUCCUUCUCCCCUAGUUCACUACCGGGUGUUCACUGUUAACCACAAGAUGGACCCUGUGACCAGGACAUUCACUCUGGACAUCAAGGUGGUCUUUCCCGAUGGGGGGUGGUGGGGGUGGAUCCUGGACACUGAGGUUGCACGGCGUGCUGAAGCAUGAGCCACAAGGGCCCUCCCAGAGGGCAGUCACCAGCCCCACCCCCUAUCCCCACAGAACCCGGAGGGAAUCACCGUGAUUAGCCAGAGUCUGAGAGCCAAGGACGGCUUCUUUUUCAGCUCCUUUCACCUCCCAGAGCUUGUCAGGUGCCCUUGUCAGGUCUGGGAGCCGGAGGGGUGGCAAGGGAGGCUGUCAUUCUCUGUCUCCAUCUCUCUUAACUUUCUGUGCCUCAGUUUGGGGACCUGGACCAUCGAAGCCAGCUACCAAAGUACACCCAAGCAGAAGUUCAAGGCUGCCUUUGAUGUGAAGGAAUAUGGUGAGAAGGCUGUGGGUGGGGUGGGCAAGAUAAGUAUGCCAGGGACGGGACUGGGAAU
rnacentral:lncRNA from 1 species